AGCUAGCAUGGUGUAGUGGUUUGAAUGUUAGACUACAACUUUAGAGACCAGGGUUCAAUUCCUUGCUUGGCCA